AUUGGGGCUUGAACUGGGAGAUAUCGAUGGAUGCUGGCAGUUUUCAGAUGGCUAGUUUGGUGGGACUUCAGGACAUGGUGAAACACGUAGCCAUCUUGAAGAAAAAUGUGCUCUCUCUUCACUACCUCUCCAAUGGCCAUCAGAAGUGGUUAGAGCAUUUGCCAGAAAGUGAGGUUGUCCAGUAUCAGCUGGUGUAUUCCACGGGACGGG